ensembl:lncRNA
CAAGUGCCAGUUCCAGCUGCCAGUGUGACAAAUGAGGCACUGCUUUCAGUGGCAAACUUGUCCCAUCAUGCACCUCUUCCACCUGCAACAAUGUCCCAUCAUGCACCAAUCUCAGAUGCCAACAUAUACCAUCAUGCACCUGCUCUAAAUGCAUCUGUAUCACAUCAUGAACCCGUUAUACCACAAAGGACCUCCGAUCAUUGUCCACCAGAAAAUGACAAUGAAGACAAUGAGGAGGUCUGUGAUGCAGAGCAGGAGGUUAACGUGUCCCAGGGCGGUACUGCAAACCUGUCUCGCAUCACUCCUAAUAAUUCUCUGGGAUACAUUCAGGCCACUCCUUCUCGGGUGCUACCUUCACCUACUGUUAAUACUAGAGAAGCACUGGACGUGAUAAUGGACAUGUUCCAGGCUCCUACACUUUUGGAGGACCCAUUCCCCAAUGCUUCAGAGGAGAGGGACUUUGACGUAAUAUAUACCAGAAAAG